AUUAAAAAGAAUAAUCGACUUUUAAAACUUAAUAUCCUUCAAUCAACAACUAGGAAAAAGGUGAAAUUCCUUUACAGUCCCUUUCUACUGUAAUGCGCAAUGCAAAGUCAGACACUAGUGUGGAUUGAUUCGAACAA
rnacentral:ncRNA from 2 species